GAAUCCGGUUGAUCCUGCCGGACCUGACUGCUAUCGGAUUGAUACUAAGCCAUGCGAGUCAUUGUAGCAAUACAAGGCAGACGGCUCAGUAACACGUAGUCAAUCUAACCUAUGGACGGGGAUAACCUCGGGAAACUGAGAAUAAUAUCCGAUAGGCCACUAUGCCUGGAAUGGUUUGUGGCCCAAAUGAUUUAUCGCCGUAGGAUGGGACUGCGGUCUAUCAGCUUGUUGGUGAGGUAAUGGCCCACCAAGGCUAUAACAGAUACGGGCUCUGAGAGGAGAGGCCCGGAGAUGGGUACUGAGACACGGACCCAGGCCCUAUGGGGCGCAGCAGGCGAGAAAACUUUGCAAUGUGCGAAAGCACGACAAGGUUAAUCCGAGUGUUUUCUGCUAAAGAAAUCUUUUACCGGUCUUAAAACCACCGGCGAAUAAGGGGUGGGCAAGUUCUGGUGUCAGCCGCCGCGGUAAAACCAGCACCUCAAGUGGUCAGGAGGAUUAUUGGGCCUAAAGCAUCCGUAGCCUGCCGUGUAAGUUUUCGGUUAAAUCUAUGCGCUCAACGCAUAGGCUGCCGGAAAUACUGCACGGCUAGGGAGUGGGAGAGGUAGACGGUACUCGGUAGGAAGGGGUAAAAUCCUUUGAUCUAUCGAUGACCCCCUGUGGCGAAGGCGGUCUACUAGAACACGUCCGACGGUGAGGGAUGAAAGCUGGGGGAGCAAACCGGAUUAGAUACCCGGGUAGUCCCAGCUGUAAACAAUGCAAACUCAGUGAUGCAUUGGUGUAAGAGCCAGUGCAGUGCCGCAGGGAAGCCGUUAAGUUUGCCGCCUGGGAAGUACGUACGCAAGUAUGAAACUUAAAGGAAUUGGCGGGGGAGCACCACAAGGGGUGAAGCUGCGGUUCAAUUGGAGUCAACGCG
rnacentral:rRNA from 1 species